UACGGGGGGGGCAAGCGUUGUUCGGAAUUACUGGGCGUAAAGGGUUCGUAGGCGGCCAACUAAGUCAGACGUGAAAUCCCUCGGCUUAACCGGGGAACUGCGUCUGAUACUGGAUGGCUGGAGUUUGGGAGAGGGAUGCGGAAUUCCAGGUGUAGCGGUGAAAUGCGUAGAUAUCUGGAGGAACACCGGUGGCGAAGGCGGCAUCCUGGACCAACACUGACGCUGAUGAGCGAAAGCCAGGGGAGCAAACGGG
rnacentral:rRNA from 1 species